rnacentral:rRNA from 1 species
GAUGAACGCUGGCGGCGUGCCUAAUACACGCAAGUCGAGCGAAUGGAUUAAGAGCUUGCUCUUAUGAAGUUAGCGGCGGACGGGUGAGUAACACGUGGGUAACCUGCCCAUAAGACUGGGAUAACUCCGGGAAACCGGGGCUAAUACCGGAUAAUAUUUUGAACUGCAUGGUUCAAAAUUGAAAGGCGGCCUCGGCUGUCACUUAUGGAUGGACCCGCGUCGCAUUAGCUAGUUGGUGAGGUAACGGCUCACCAAGGCAACGAGGCGUAGCCGACCUGAGAGGGUGAUCGGCCACACUGGGACUGAGACACGGCCCAGACUCCUACGGGAGGCAGCAGUAGGGAAUCUUCCGCAAUGGACGAAAGUCUGACGGAGCAACGCCGCGUGAGUGAUGAAGGCUUUCGGGUCGUAAAACUCUGUUGUUAGGGAAGAACAAGUGCUAGUUGAAUAAGCUGGCACCUUGACGGUACCUAACCAGAAAGCCACGGCUAACUACGUGCCAGCCGCCGCCGUAA